CUGUACAUGAGGAAAAAGAUAAAACAUUUGAUGAGGACACAUAUCCAGCUGGACCUUCAUCAUUUUACAAGAGCACAAAUUGGGCUUUAAGCAGCACUGGUUACUUUCCUGAUGAUGACCAUACUCAAGACAUCUUUAUCCAAAAUAAAGAAUCUAGACUCUCCAUGCCCAAUCCACAACUGUACACGGAAGCACGCCUUUCUCCCAUCUCUCUAACUUAUUACACUGUAAAGCUCCAUUUUGCAGAGACAGAGUUUGAAAAUGGCAAAACAUAUAAAAGCCUGGGAAGGCGUAUAUUUGAUGUUUACAUUCAGGGGAGACUAGUGCAGAAGGAUUUCAAUAUUGUCGAUAAAGCUGGUGGGAUUAGUACUGCAGUCAUAAUGAACUAUACUGCUGCUGUAACUAGUGGUACCUUGGAGAUCCGUUUCUAUUGGGCUGGG